rnacentral:rRNA from 1 species
AGGCACUACGGUGCUGAAGUGACAAAUGCCCUGCUUCCAGGAAAAGCCUCUAAGCAUCAGGUAACAUCAAAUCGUACCCCAAACCGACACAGGUGGUCAGGUAGAGAAUACCAAGGCGCUUGAGAGAACUCGGGUGAAGGAACUAGGCAAAAUGGUGCCGUAACUUCGGGAGAAGGCACGCUGAUGGUAGGUGAAGCGACUUGCUCGUGGAGCUGAAAUCAGUCGAAGAUACCAGCUGGCUGCAACUGUUUAUUAAAAACACAGCACUGUGCAAACACGAAAGUGGACGUAUACGGUGUGACGCCUGCCCGGUGCCGGAAGGUUAAUUGAUGGGGUUAUCCGUAAGGAGAAGCUCUUGAUCGAAGCCCCGGUAAACGGCGGCCGUAACUAUAACGGUCCUAAGGUAGCGAAAUUCCUUGUCGGGUAAGUUCCGACCUGCACGAAUGGCGUAAUGAUGGCCAGGCUGUCUCCACCCGAGACUCAGUGAAAUUGAACUCGCUGUGAAGAUGCAGUGUACCCGCGGCAAGACGGAAAGACCCCGUGAACCUUUACUAUAGCUUGACACUGAACACUGGUCCUUGAUGUGUAGGAUAGGUGGGAGGCUUUGAAGUGUGGACGCCAGUCUGCAUGGAGCCAUCCUUGAAAUACCACCCUUUAAUGGCUGGUGUUCUAACGUGGGCCCCUGAUCGGGGUUGCGGACAGUGUCUGGUGGGUAGUUUGACUGGGGCGGUCUCCUCCUAAAGAGUAACGGAGGAGCACGAAGGUCAGCUAAUCCUGGUCGGACAUCAGGAGGUUAGUGCAAUGGCAUAAGCUGGCUUGACUGCGAGCGUGACGGCGCGAGCAGGUGCGAAAGCAGGUCAUAGUGAUCCGGUGGUUCUGAAUGGAAGGGCCAUCGCUCAACGGAUAAAAGGUACUCCGGGGAUAACAGGCUGAUACCGCCCAAGAGUUCAUAUCGACGGCGGUGUUUGGCACCUCGAUGUCGGCUCAUCACAUCCUGGGGCUGAAGUAGGUCCCAAGGGUAUGGCUGUUCGCCAUUUAAAGUGGUACGCGAGCUGGGUUUAGAACGUCGUGAGACAGUUCGGUCCCUAUCUGCCGUGGGCGCUGGAGAAUUGAGGGGGGCUGCUCCUAGUACGAGAGGACCGGAGUGGACGCAUCACUGGUGUUCGGGUUGUCAUGCCAAUGGCAUUGCCCGGUAGCUAAAUGCGGAAGAGAUAAGUGCUGAAAGCA